rnacentral:ncRNA from 1 species
GAUUGUUGAGGUCGGAAAUGGUUCCCGACACUCCUCGAAAGAGGAACCUGAGAUGCAGGAUACACCGCCCUGCCUUCAAUC